rnacentral:rRNA from 1 species
AACGAACGCUGGCGGCAUGCCUAACACAUGCAAGUCGAACGAUGCCUCCGGGCAUAGUGGCGCACGGGUGCGUAACGCGUGGGAAUCUGCCCUUGGGUUCGGAAUAACUCGCCGAAAGGCGAGCUAAUACCGGAUGAUUACGUAAGUCCAAAGAUUUAUCGCCCAAGGAUGAGCCCGCGUAGGAUUAGCUAGUUGGUGGGGUAAAGGCCCACCAAGGCGACGAUCCUUAGCUGGUAUGAGAGGAUGAUCAGCCACACUGGGACUGAGACACGGCCCAGAAUCCUACGGGAGGAAGAAGUGGGGAAUAUUGGAAAAUGGGAGAAAGCCUGAACAAGCAAUGACGCGUGAGUGAUGAAGGCCUUAGGGUAGUAAAGCGCUAUUACCCGGGAUGAUAAUGACAGUACCGGGAGAAAAAGCUCCGGCUAACUACGUG